rnacentral:antisense_RNA from 1 species
AUCUUCGUGCAUAGGCAAACUUAUUGUAGCUAGACUGUACAAAGUAUAUCAAGAUAUGCCAAAUAUUGAGCUUAACUUCACCUGUUUGAGAGACGGUGUUUCUUUUAGCUUGCAACACCAUGAAAAAAUUACUGAGACACUAGGAACGCUGUGAACUGAGAAAGUUUGGGACCUUUGGCAUAACUAAAUCCUUCAUUUAACAGUGUUGUGAACUACUUGUCAUGGGAUAACCAAAAUUAAACCUGGAAUCUCAGAAGAAACAAAUUGUUUGAAGAAGUUGGAUGUGCUUUAAAAUUUUUAAAUUUUUCAUUCAACUAAAACUUUGUGAACUGUUUCUUGGUUGUGGUCUUCUCUAAAUUGUAAUCUUUGGCAUUCACUUCCAAAGUAUCCCCCACUAAACUUCAUAACAUUUAUUGUGUCUCUUCAUUAUUAAACUUUGAUGAAUU